CUCGGUAAAUUGACAUCGCUGGUUAGCGGCAGCCUGGUUGCUAGACGACUCAAUCUGCGACGCCGAUGAGAAAACAGUAAGCUCUGUACGGAAAGACAGCAGCAUUUUAACAGUUUUAAGGAAGCUAUGCUUUACAGCCCACAUUACCGUAUGGACUGCUUAUUAUUAAGGAAAGUUAGCUGUCCUAAAAAACGUAAAUUCCCAGUUGUAGCAUAGCUAGCGUCUCUUUUGUUGCCCCCCUGUGUAUUUUUUUAGCAAGAGAGGAGGCGACGUGAAGUAAGAUUUGGGAGUUGUGAAAAGAUGACCGAAUUAGAAGUGGGAAAAGUCGAGUUUUCCAACCUAACAUAACAGUUAUUUACAAGCUAUGUUCAAUGCCAAUGCUAAGAUGUCUCUGGAGGCGAGUGAUGUCCAAACAGAUGAAGACUACGAGGAGCUGGUUGAGGAUGGCUUCUCGCUCCCUGCUGAUGUUCCAGUAAAGAAAACGAAAAAGAAAGUCUCUUCUGGCAAGCCUCCUCCUUCUCCAGGGUCUCCAUACCUCACCAGUCUGAAUGUGAAUCCCAGGAGAGCAGCAGUGGGUGCUUGGAGACUACCAAGGGCCUCUCUGGGGGACACCAGAUUGGACACUCCUGGGGAGACUGGCCCAGCUCGCCUUACUUCCCUCAGCAACGGCCUUGAUGUGUCUCAGACUCUGAGAUUGGAGUGUGAUGCCACACCAGAGCUCCUCAUGCAGACCCUGAGCACGAGGAAGUCCAAACAUCUCCACUCUGCUUCCAACGGUUUGACUUUAGUUACAAGUGAUUUCAUGAAGAAGGAGGACAUGUACGAUGAGAUCAUUCACCUCAAGAAGAGCCUUCAUGAACAGAAAUCUGACAACCAGCAAAUGAAAGCCAAACUACGACGCCUGGAGGAAGAUAAUGCCAAGAGAGAGAAACAGAUAGAAGCACUGUUGGAUCCCACUAAGGGAUCUGAAUAUACGCGUAGUUUGGUAGAUAGGAAAAGAGAAGGGAGUGUGGUUACCAAUGGACUGAAGCAGAGGAUCCUAAAGCUGGAGCAGCAGUGCAGAGAGAAAGAAAACGCCCUGAGUAAACUGCAAAGUGAGCUGAGGGCCACCAACCUGGAAGAACUGAAGAUUCGAGUCAAAUCAUACUUUGAGGAGAUUCAGAGACUGAGGAUGCUUCUAGAAGCAGCUGAGAAAAGCUGUCGAGCCGAGAGUAAAUGCUCCCAGAGGCAGCAAAAAGCUUUGAGCUCCACAGUUCACCGUCUGACUGAGAACCUGAAGCAGCUUCAACAAGAGAACGUGGCACUCAGAGAAGAACUCAACACUGACAGUCCUGCUGGAGGAGCCAAAGAUUACAGAGAGUGGAGUAAACAGAGAAUGUUGAGACGGCUGUUGGAGGUGGAGAAGAGGCUGGAAGACAGCAAAAGACACGCCCAGUCACCAAAGAGCAGCAUCCUAUUGGAUAAGGAAGUCCAGACCACGCUCACUGAGAGUCUGGCGUUUACCAUGGCAACAGAGGCAGUGGUCUCCGUGGGAACGCUCACUGAUGAAAGGGAGGAGGUUUCGGAGUUGAGGGAACGCUUGAGUCAAUUGGAGGAGGAGAAAAUGGCGCUUGAAGAGUUGCUGUCAAGUAGAGAUGAUGAACUGAAACAGCUGAAGACUGAAAGAGAAAAACUGGAGAAAGCGACAAAACAGUGGAAAGUUGAACAGAAAAAACGACAUGACGAAGAGAGACGGCAGCAUAAACAGGAGUUGAAACAGUUGCGAGCUCGGAUCCAAAGUCUGGAGGAGGAAAACAGUAAACUUGCACAGGCUGAGCUCUCCUCUCCUCCUCCCACAUCGGCAGAGGAGACUCAGGGCAGCACAGGUGUGAGAGAGGGAGAGGAAAGGGACACGGGGAGCAAAGAGGAGGCAGAGGGAGGUGAGGAAUCGGUCAAAGAUGAUGGAGAGAAAGAAGAAAUGGAGAAAGCAGCAUUAGACAUUCAGAUAUGCUGGAGGGAGCACAGAAACAGGGACACAGUGAUGCUGCAGUCAGCUUUAAGAGGCCACCUCUUCAGAGACUCACAGCUGAAGGAGCUACCGGAAGACGCACAGAAUCAGGUUGAAAAAUCAUCAAACUUCAGCGAUGAAGCUUCCUCUGCUGGUGACAUGCUGGAUGAUGACGCCUUGACGACGAUACAGUCGGCGUUCAGGGGACAUCUGGCUCGAUGUAGUCUUGCACAAGAAAGGUCUGUGCCUUCUUUAAUGGAAAACAAUUUUCCCACGCUGGCACCAAGAGGAAGUGCAUUACCACACCCACCCAGCAAAAAAAGAUGCUGCAUCCCUCAGUGAUGAUGGUGAAGAGGAAGGUUUAAAGAAAAAAACCCGGCCUGCGUCUAACAUCUCUGCCUCCAGGAAGACACUCACAAAAGCCCAGAGUGAGUCUUGUGACAUCGAUGAAGACGCCGCUUUCUAUUCUGAUGAUUCUGAUGACAUCAUCGUGUCUCCGUCACGCCCAUCGAGAAGCUGAGUAGUCACUAAGUAUAGUUAUUGAGUAUAGUUACUAAGAACUUUAACUUCUUACUGAACCUGCAAAUAAUAGCUGGGCUGUUCCAAUAAUGUUUAUAAUAACAAUAACAAUAUUCACUGUGUAACACGAGCUGCUCCCAUGCCAAUGCCAAUAACAAGAAUAUUCUCAGAAUGUGUCUCAGUGUCGAUGUAAGGUUAUGAGAUGUUUUUUUUCUUUAAUCAGUUGAGAACAUAAAACGAACAGCCCAUUUUUGUUGAGUGUGUUAUUCUUGAGCCAAAUAUCUCUGUUUAAUUAGUCAGAUUUAUUUUUGUUUCUUUUUGCCAAAGUGCCUGCUGCAUGGGAAUUCAAAUUGAAAUAGCAGAAAUGAAUGCAUUCAUUUCUGCUAACCUAGCUGGAAUCACUUUAAAUUCAUCUGGCUUCAUCAGGCUGAAAUAAUCCAUAAAAUCACAUUUGCACAUGCCUUAUUUGGUAAUACAUGAAAGUCAGCACACUAAUAUAUGUUGCAUGCUUAGUUCGCUAUAGCUGAGUCUGCGGUGUGGUUGAGGGACAGCUCUUAACUGAUGCACUAUUGAGCCAAACUGUGAAUAAGUUAUAGAUCAGGCUGCUGCAAUACUGAAACGGUGAGAGCGGGGGAGAUUACACAGGAUACACAGGGACUGUGUCUAAUGCCAAUAAUACUUGUGCUUUAAAACAGACAAAUGAGUCAAUAAAAUCAACGCUCGAGUGCAUUUGUCUCCACAUGAUCAGUGUAACUUAAUUUCUGAUACAGUAAAUAAAAUGUUUUUCUAAUAAAA